rnacentral:rRNA from 1 species
GUGGGGAAUAUUGGACAAUGGGCGAAAGCCUGAUCCAGCCAUGCCGCGUGAGUGAUGAAGGCCUUAGGGUUGUAAAGCUCUUUCAGUAGGGAAGAUAAUGACGGUACCUACAGAAGAAGCCCCGGCUAACUUCGUGCCAGCAGCCGCGGUAAUACGAAGGGGGCUAGCGUUGUUCGGAUUUACUGGGCGUAAAGCGCACGUAGGCGGAUUGGUCAGUUAGAGGUGAAAUCCUGGAGCGCAACUCCAGAACUGCCUUUAAUACUGCCAGUCUAGAGUCCAGAAGAGGUGUGUAGAACUCCUAGUGUAGAGGUGGAAUUCGUAGAUAUUAGGAAGAACACCAGUGGCGAAGGCGGCUCACUGGUCUGGUACUGACGCUGAGGUGCGAAAGCGUGGGGAGCAAACAGGAUUAGAAACCCGGGUAGUCA